rnacentral:rRNA from 1 species
UACGUAGGGGGCAAGCGUUGUCCGGAAUCAUUGGGCGUAAAGAGCGCGUAGGCGGCCCUGUAAGUCCGCUGUGAAAGUCAAGGGCUCAACCCUUGGAUGCCGGUGGAUACUGCAGGGCUAGAGUCCGGAAGAGGCGAGUGGAAUUCCUGGUGUAGCGGUGAAAUGCGCAGAUAUCAGGAGGAACACCGGUGGCGAAGGCGGGUCUCUGGGCCGUAACUGACGCUGAGGAGCGAAAGCAUGGGGAGCGAACAGG